UGAAAGGGCUGCCCCUCAAGGCCCAACGUCCAGCACAUUCCUGCCCGCCUUUCCUGGACAGAUUAUAUCAGAACCAGCUGAGUGAGACCAGAGGGAGAGGGGGCAGGGAUGGAAGGUGCCUCAUCUUGGGGCCACAAAGCAAGCUCGGGCAGGGGGCAGGGUUCAGACCACAGAAAUAGCCAACUACAGUGACAACAAAUGUGCUCAAUGAAUGUGGCCUGAAUAAAUGAAAACUGAAAAUCCAAAUAUCAGAUAAGAAGGGAAAACUCCAAAUGUGAUAUAUUAACCCUACAUAAACCCCAGGAAAUAUUAUACAACUAUUCAAAUGGACUGAUAUGGAAAUAGUAAACAUGUACAAAAUAAUGCUCCAAGCUCUGUGGCACGGCCUUCUGAGUGUAUCUGGAGAUCAUCCUCCUCCUCCCCCUGAACCGGGAUGGUACGCCAGGAUGGGGGUCUCCGGGCCAGGCACCCUCUCUGGCUCCAGCUCGGCCCCCUCCCGCCACCUACAGGCCCCG
rnacentral:lncRNA from 1 species